AUUGAACGCUGGCGGCAUGCCUUACACAUGCAAGUCGAACGGCAGCACGGGGCAACCUGGUGGCGAGUGGCGAACGGGUGAGUAAUGCAUCGGAACGUACCUUUCAGUGGGGGAUAACGCAGCGAAAGUUACGCUAAUACCGCAUAUCCUGUGAGCAGGAAAGCAGGGGAUCGCAAGACCUUGCGCUGAUUGAGCGGCCGAUGUCAGAUUAGCUAGUUGGUGAGGUAAAGGCUCACCAAGGCGACGAUCUGUAGCGGGUCUGAGAGGAUGAUCCGCCACACUGGAACUGAGACACGGUCCAGACUCCUACGGGAGGCAGCAGUGGGGAAUUUUGGACAAUGGGGGCAACCCUGAUCCAGCCAUGCCGCGUGAGUGAAGAAGGCCUUCGGGUUGUAAAGCUCUUUCGGCCGGGAAGAAAUCGCACGGGCUAAUACCCUGUGUGGAUGACGGUACCGGAAUAAGAAGCACCGGCUAACUACGUGCCAGCCGCCGCGGUAAUAC
rnacentral:rRNA from 1 species